rnacentral:lncRNA from 1 species
UAUAAGUACCCCCCAUCCUCUUUGCAUAACACAACAACACACAUUACAAUCUCUCUAACUCUCUUUCAAUAACACUCAGUGCUAAAUAUUUCUCUAUUGUUUCUCUACAAACUCUCUCACUCAAUCGGCUGAAAGCUAAGAUUGAGUAAUCUUGGCUAUUUAUUUCUAUACUACUAGGGUUCUACUGCAUUGGUUACUUGGGUUUUUGCCUGUUGUUUGCUUCUCUGCACUGCUGUUCUCACGUUGUUGCCCUCAUUCUCUGCUCACUCUGCUCAUCUUGUGUAUUGUUACUGCUUUGUGUUCUAUUUUCCUGAAACUGGUAUAUUACUUAUCUAAUAUAUAGUCUCCAAAACAAUAUGUUUUGUUAGUCCUGCACUUCAUCUUGUUCCUUGUG